GCGCGCCUCCCCGGAAGCCCGGGCUGCACCGGCGCCGCGCGCGGGGCUUCCCCCCUGCCCCUCUGGCUGGGAGGGCAGGGUGGCGUCAGGUCGCCCGCCGCUCUUGGGCCUCCUCGGCUCCCUUCCUCCUUCCCUGCGGUCUUCAUGCACAGCUGCUUCGGUCCGCCGCUUCUGGAGUUCACAGCCCAGAUGUGGAUAGGCUUUACCCCACUCAUCCUUACAAUGUGGGUCAUGAGCCCAGAGCCUUAAGCUACGUGUCAGGAGGGCCCCAGGAUGUAGGAUUCAGCAUUGCUCUUUUUGACCUUAGGCCCUACUGCGGCCUCGCCUGGACGUUUUGUCACCUGGCCCUGGUGCCUCCAGACAGAACCAGGACGCAUAGAUCAUCUUCUCAGGUAAUAUGAUCCUGACCAGAGGGAGAUGGGUUGGGGCAUCUAUUCUAGUCCCCACCUGCCAGAAUAGGUGUCAGGUGGCUCCUCACCACUCUACAUCAUUAGUGUGUACAAUGGACACAGCAUUAUCUGAACUUCCAUGGCUCUAUGUAAAGCAUUCCAUUGUAUUUUAAUAAUUACGCAAGACAAGGCCUCUUUCACAUAAGGCAAAUAAGUGUGAUUGAUUCAGACUUCUGGCAUUACUGGGCCAUGCUGCCGCAAGAAACAGGUGCAUGUGGAAUCAAGCCUGACGGAGUUAUUGGUGUGCAGAAAAAAAAAAAAGGAUUACUACUUAUCCAGUUUUUAAAGAUGAGAGUGUUUUAUCUGAUGCCCUGACCAAAUGAAACAACAACCUAGACUGAAGCAGGGAACAUUCGCUGGACAUUUCAGGCACUGUGCUAGGCUCUACAGUGAAGCAUUCACAGUCUAGUGGUGUCUAUAAAUAAAACCACAAUGCUAACUUUUAAAUUCCUAUGAGGAAUAUAAUUGUAAUGCCACUAUAGCUGCAUCACUACCAUGGGGUCAUUCUCUCCCUACAGACAGAUCAAUAAACAAAAUCAAAUUACAAUCCAAAGGAAGCAAGGUGGGCAGAAAUAAUGUAGGGAUUCAUGAUGAAUAAAGUCAUUAAUCCUUCCAUUUAUUCAUUCAAC
rnacentral:antisense_RNA from 1 species